rnacentral:siRNA from 1 species
GUUACACAUAUUCCUGGCCUA